rnacentral:rRNA from 1 species
UACGAAGGGGGCUAGCGUUGUUCGGAUUUACUGGGCAUAAAGCGCACGUAGGCGGAUCGAUCAGUCAGGGGUGAAAUCCCAGAGCUCAACUCUGGAACUGCCUUUGAUACUGUCGAUCUGGAGUAUGGAAGAGGUGAGUGGAAUUCCGAGUGUAGAGGUGAAAUUCGUAGAUAUUCGGAGGAACACCAGUGGCGAGGGCGGCUCACUGGUCCAUUACUGACGCUGAGGUGCGAAAGCGUGGGGAGCAAACAGG